rnacentral:rRNA from 1 species
UACGAAGGGGGCUAGCGUUGCUCGGAAUCACUGGGCGUAAAGGGUGCGUAGGCGGGUCUUUAAGUCAGGGGUGAAAUCCUGGAGCUCAACUCCAGAACUGCCUUUGAUACUGAGGAUCUUGAGUACGGGAGAGGUGAGUGGAACUGCGAGUGUAGAGGUGAAAUUCGUAGAUAUUCGCAAGAACACCAGUGGCGAAGGCGGGUCUCUGGACAGUUCCUGACGCUGAGGCACGAAGGUCAGGGGAGCAAACGGG